AUGAAGUCCUUCAAGAAGGAAUUCACCCUGGAGGAGAGGGCGAAUGAGUCGGCCGCCAUGAUCGCCAAGUACCCCGGCAGGAUCCCCGUGAUUGUUGAAAGGUUUUCGAGGAGUAAACUUCCAGAAAUGGAGAAGAGGAAGUACCUGGUUCCGUGUGACAUGCCAGUUGGGCAGUUCAUUUUCAUCCUGCGCUCCAGGUUACAUCUGUCUCCAGGGACGGCGCUUUUCGUGUUUGUGCGCAACACCUUGCCCCAGACCGCUAACCUGAUGGGUAGCGUGUAUGAUUCGUACAAAGAUAAGCAGGAUGGCUUCCUCUACAUGUGUUACAGCAGCGAGAAGACAUUUGGGUGA
rnacentral:rRNA from 1 species